UCCUUCCAAGUGUUUAAUUUGACAACCCUGAAAGCAAUCAAUUGCGUGUCCAUGAUAUGGUUUUAUUGCUUUGUUUUACAAAAUCAAUUGUACAUGGAAGUUGUGGCAAAAGUCACAAAAAGCUAGGCACCAGGGGGGAUGAUGAGCAAACUGUGGCAUUCCAGGGAAAGCUGAUAUCAUUAGCAAGCCUCGGGGUCGGUUUCGAAACCAUCUUUUGCAGUCGACUCAGACUCCUCACAGAGUGAAGGCAGUGAUGUGGGAGAGAAUGGCUUGGUAGCUUUUGUUGGGGUAGCUCGGUUUCUAUGUUGGCCUGCAAGUCUCUCAAGGAAUAUUACCUGAGCUUCAAUCUUAAUCUUCAAGUUCCUUUGAGCCUUCAAACAUAAACCCCUCUAGAAAUUGUUAAAACUAGCUACAUCCCUGAAGGGCUAUACCUUUCUUCUUUGUGGAAAAACUAAAACGAAGAGAAUCUAAUUUUCCGUAUGUUUACCUCGA